rnacentral:rRNA from 1 species
UACAGAGGUCCCGAGCGUUGUUCGGAUUCACUGGGCGUAAAGGGUUCGUAGGUGGCAUUGUAAGUUUGAUGUGAAAGCUCAGGGCUUAACCCUGAAAUGGCGUUGAAUACUGCGGUGCUGGAGGUUUGGAGGGGGGACUGGAAUUCUUGGUGUAGCAGUGAAAUGCGUAAAUAUCAGGAGGAAUACCGAUGGCGAAGGCAGGUCUCUGGGCUAUAACUGACGCUCAUGCACGAAAGCGUGGGGAGCAAACAGG